rnacentral:ncRNA from 2 species
UCAGCGGGCCGUGACUGGCGCGCUGGGAUGGGACCGACCAUCGGGGAGCGGCCCGAGCACGAAUGAGUGCCGUGCGCCUGGGCCGAACCG